GGCGGCGUAGCCAAGUGGUAAGGCGAGGGUCUGCAAAACCCUUAUUCAUCGGUUCGAUUCCGAUCGCCGCCUCAA
rnacentral:tRNA from 1 species